UACAGAGGGUGCGAGCGUUAAUCGGAAUUACUGGGCGUAAAGCGCGCGUAGGUGGCUUUGCAAGUCGGGUGUGAAAUCCCCAGGCUUAACCUGGGAACUGCAUUCGAGACUGCAUUGCUAGAGUAUGGGAGAGGGAAGUGGAAUUUCCGGUGUAGCGGUGAAAUGCGUAGAUAUCGGAAGGAACAUCAGUGGCGAAAGCGACUUCCUGGACCAAUACCGACGCUCAUGUGCGAAAGCGUGGGGAGCAAACAGG
rnacentral:rRNA from 1 species